GACGAACGCUGGCGGCGUGCUUAACACAUGCAAGUCGUACGGUAAGGCCCUUUCGGGGGUACACGAGUGGCGAACGGGUGAGUAACACGUGAGUAACCUGCCCACAACUUUGGGAUAACGCUAGGAAACUGGUGCUAAUACUGGAUAUGUGCUCCUGCUGCAUGGUGGGGGUUGGAAAGCUCCGGCGGUUGUGGAUGGACUCGCGGCCUAUCAGCUUGUUGGUGGGGUAGUGGCCUACCAAGGCGGCGACGGGUAGCCGGCCUGAGAGGGUGACCGGCCACAUUGGGACUGAGAUACGGCCCAGACUCCUACGGGAGGCAGCAGUGGGGAAGAUUGCACAAUGGGCGCAAGCCUGAUGCAGCAACGCCGCGUGCGGGAUGACGGCCUUCGGGUUGUAAACCGCUUUCAGCAGGGACGAAGCUUUUUGUGACGGUACCUGCAGAAGAAGCGCCGGCUAACUACGUG
rnacentral:rRNA from 1 species